GGCGGCGGCGGCGGCUCGCUCGGGGCGGGUAAGGGCGGGACUGGCCCGCUGCGGGCGGACUGGGGAACCGCUGAGCUAACGGGUCCGGACGCCGACGGAGGCGGCGGCUUUCUCUGCACCGGCGGCGGCGGCGGGAGCGGCGAGCAUGGCCCGCGCGGCGCCCGGAGCUGACUGAGAGUCAUGCUGCGGCAGCCUGGUGCCUGACAAGUGAGGGGAACCUGCCAGGGGAUUACUGCUCGCUCAGGGCAGGACCGAGGCCUCGGGAGCAGGGAUGGGCAGGGCAGCCUCCAAGCCUGGGCCAGCAGCACCAAGACGGAGGCCUGGGCCCCGGCCUGGAGCUCGACACGUGCCCACUUGGUUGCCCCAGGUGGCACUCAAAGCAGCACUCUUCUGAGAAACGGGUGAUCGCCAGCCCCAAAGACCACACAGCAGGAGCUGGAGCUCAGCCACCCCUGCACAACUAGGACUAUCAGGAGAAGGGACUGGCACCUCAGGGGACGCAGGAAGGCAGACCCGAACGGCAGGAGGACCUUGUCCCUGAAGAGUUUACCGGCGCCCGCAGAGAUUCCUGAGCCUCUUCUCUCCAGACUGGGCUCAGUUCCUUUCUCUCCCCCGGCAGAGGCAUCGGG
rnacentral:lncRNA from 1 species